rnacentral:rRNA from 1 species
AACGCGUAGAAAUCUGCCUGGUAGUGGGGGAUAGCCCAGAGAAAUUUGGAUUAAUACCGCAUACGCCCUACGGGGGAGAGCAGGGGACCUUCGGGCCUUGCGCUAUCAGAUGAGUCUGCGUCGGAUUAGCUUGUUGGUGAGGUAAUGGCUCACCAAGGCGACGAUCCGUAGCUGGUCUGAGAGGAUGAUCAGCCACACUGGGACUGAGACACGGCCCAG